UCAGCUUGUAGAUGAUCUAGAAUCUUCAUUCCAGUGGCUAAAUGCACAUUUUCAGGGACAAGGAAUCCAAUGGUGCCAAUUACAAAAAUGUAAAUAAGGUAAAAUCACAUUUA